GGCGUAUCUUGCCAUGGCGGAGCUCGACCGCCGGUCUCGGCCAUGAUCAGCUUCAUCGACGAGCAUCGAGCCGCCUACGGGGUCGAGCCGAUCUGCAGGGUAUUGCCGAUCGCCCCG
rfam:Methylobacterium platani strain SE2.11 contig_78, whole genome shotgun sequence.